ensembl:lncRNA
CAUGGCUGGAAGAGAACUCAUUCUCCUUCCACCAAGCUGAGAAGAGUGGGGAGACCACCCAGGGAGAGGAGACAGUUCAGGCAGCCUUUGUAAACAGCCCGUAGAAAGACGCUCAACUGACUUCAGGACCAUGGAAAGCUCCGAAGGAGGCAGGAAGGCGGCUGGAGUAGAAAAGCCCUUCACCUACAGAGCCACCGUCUAAUCUCCUGAAGAAGGUCUCCCUGUGCCCCCAGUCGAGGCUGCCACCAAGUCAAACCAAGCCCACCACCAUCAAGUCAUGGACUACCCCUGCGGGACCAGCCUGAGCUAUCCCCUUUCCCUCCACGGACCCCCCCCCCCACCGCUCCUUUCUCAGCAUCCAGCGGUGGCGCCUGGAUGCCCAAGAGCCUGAGAACUGAGGACCCUGGCCUCCUUGCAGGCUUGAGAUCUCCGGCUGUGUCCACUGAGCUUUCUCCCCACCUCCAGUGGUGUCCUGCGGCUUCCCACAGCCAGACACACGCCCUGCCUCAGCAGCAGCGGGGGCACGGUGUAACUGAGGUGGAGCAGAUGAGGGAACCCCCACAAGAAACCUACAAGAAGCCAUCAGUGGGACCACACAGCAAAAGCACCACUCCGCUCUGGUACCACGCACAGCUUCCGGGGAAAUGCCCUAACCUGGGAGGCACAUCCCUGUGAGCUCAUUCACUGUGACCAGGGAAUAGCUAGGCACUGGGCACACCAGCCCAAGGACACUGUGGCUCACAGACAGAUAGCACAGGACAGUAGGCUGGACAAUCUUUUUUUUUUGGGGGGGGGGUUCUUUUUUUCGGAGCUGGGGACCGAACCCAGGGCCUUGCGCUUCCUAGGCAAGCGCUCUACCACUGAGCUAAAUCCCCAACCCCUAGGCUGAACAAUCUUGUAAGCUCUUGGUAGCAACAAUACAUCCUGGCCUAAAACCAGGAAGAGGGCUCAGUCGACACAUGAGGGAGUUUGUCCGUUGUGCACAAAAGCCAGGGAUGAGUGAGGGAGCUAAGCCAAACCUGUGGCUGGGUCAAAGCACCCCAUACGGAGCAUCACUGAAAUGCACCCCCCCCUCCCCGUGAACUGCUAAAUAAAAAGCGCGAAGGCAGAAUUAC